GUGCUCACUUCAGUAGCACAUAUAUACUAAAAUUGGAAUGAUCCAGAAGAUUAGCAUGGCCCCUACGCAAGGAUGACACGCAAAUUCGUAAAGCGUUCCAUAUUAAA